UUGAACCUAGGGUUAUCUCAACAGCCGCUUCCAUCCUUGCGCUUCUCAAAACUUUUUUUUUCAUCGCUUCCUUUAGAUCUCGCUUCUAUGGCGGCGAAUCUUUUAUUUAUAGCUUCUGUUUGUAAUAGCGAGUCCUCCGAUCUACACAACGGUGUUGAUUUUCCAUCGAUUUAAUCGCUUCUAUGUCUUUCAUCGGUAGAUCUGAUGCAGAUCUCAUGAAAUCUAUACUUCCUCUAAGGGUAAAUCUUAUCUCAUGUCACCGUUUGUUUUUUACUUGAUUUUGGUUUCUGAUCACGUUUCUUUUUUACUCUGGUGUUAGAUCUGCCGGUGGGAUCAUCGCGUGAGGGGUGUCUAUUAUGCAAAUCGGUUGCGUUGAAGCGCGUUGAGGCUGAAUCGAAUUCGUUUAUGGACGUGAAGCUGUGUUCUUGUGUGGGUUAAGUUAAAAUUAGGAUGUAGAAGAUGUUGAAUUGCAUCUUUUGUCAUCCGACCUUUGCCAUGUCAGGUGCGCUUGCAUGGCAGGUCAAAAACAGAUCUUAAUAAAACAAUAUGUUUUGUGGUUGGGAGGGGAGUUCGCACGGGUGUUUUUUUUUUAUCCCGGGUUCUCCUCUUCCUGUGUGCGUGUCUUGCUCUCUGCGAAAUUUCACACUAUUUAUUAUUAUGCACCGUAACUCAACAGAUAGCCAUGAAACACUUAUAUCUCAUUCGACCUGGAGCUGUAACACUUUGCGCCAUUCAUGCCCCACCCAACAAGCAUGCGCUCGUAAGUAUGUUAUUUUUGAUAAUUUAGUCACUCAGAAUAAUAUCCAAUCACACCCAUGCAUAUUAACAAUCAUACGUACAUUAAUCAUUACUUCCGUCAUGAAUUUUACAAAUUCGUUGCCCAAAUUUAUUGGGCCAACUAGUUACUUUUCAUUCUAUUAUUUGUUUCUCUUUUUUGAGUGAAUUGACAAACCCUACUGAUCUAAAAGCUUUCUAUGCUGUAGACAGUAUUUUUUUAUUUAUAUUUCUAAGUUUAUAAGUAUCUGUUUGAUUUAUAUAGUUAGAGAACAUCACAAGAUUAUGUAUCCGAAAUUUGAUGGCUGAAGGGUGAGAAUGGGAUAUCAUAUUAGCUUGUGGAGCAAUACAUUGGAAGCUAUAGCGUGGAGCAGUGUGAAUACAACAGCUCUUUGUAGACUCAUCCUAUAAAGCUUAUUGUAAAUGAAGGUAUUAAAAUGCUGUGUGUACACAUUGAUUAAUUUCCUUAACAUAUAUCGAAGUGUAUCCAUUAUUACACUCCAUGUUUUCAUUUUGUUUUGAUGUGAAUAUAUUUUUGCCGAUAAUUCACUAAUAAAAUUGAUAUUAUUGUUUAAAAUUUCUUCUCCCAUGGUAGUUUUAUCUUUUCAAAUUUUUGUUCUGUCCGCAAGUGAAAGGUUACUUGAUCGUGUUGCUAAGUAUAUGAACAGUCUGUUUGUCUUGCCAUGAGCACAUUUUGAGUUUUCAAGAUUCGAUAAUAGAUCUGUAAGCUCAAAACGGGAGAGCGCUCUUCUUCUUUUGAAGUUGAGAGGUUGGUGGUUCGAGUCCACCCAGAUUUGCUCUAAUUUGCUUUUUAUUGUAAUUUCUAUGAAAUGUUCCAAUUCUUGUCAUUUCCCUGAUGGCCUGAUCUACUUAUUAAAUCGAUCGAUCAUUAAUCUCAUUUUUGGUAGCAACAGUGCAGCGUAUUUGAUGGACAACGUUUCUUCCAAUUUAUCGCUUCUUAGUAUUCUGUCUCUUCCCGACGAAAUAUUUGGAUUGUUAAACAGGACGUGGCCUGGAGUUUUGGUACAAGAGGACGUGGCCUAGAGUUCUGGUAUUUAAGUUAUACCUACUGCUUCACUACAACACGAAAUGAGUCAAGAGUCUCAUCGACUUAUCUUUACCUUUUAUCAGGACGAGUUGCAUUCAUUAUUGGGGAUGGUUUCUGUUAUAAAAGAAUGAACCAUAAUAACGUACUCCGGCAUUCAUUAUUGUAGUAGUAGGGCUUUAUACACUAAGCGAUG
rnacentral:lncRNA from 1 species